UUUGUGUGGCAGAUUCCCACUGGAAUUGACAUUGUGUUCAAGGUGUUUGAGUUCACAACAUGGCCUUGAAUGUAAGAUUCUAAAUUGUAAGUUCCCUGCUAUUUUACUUUCAAUUUUGCCUUCUGGCAACACCAAAUAACGCAAUUUUUGAAAUUUUCCAUUCUCGUUUAGCAUGUACCAUGACAGAGUGCCAGACAAGCAUUGUAUAAUUGCAUUACACCAUUCUUUAGUGUAAAUUAGCAUGUAAAGAACUUAUUACAUUCGCAUUAUUACGUAAUUGAAUGAGUAGUGCUUGUAGUCUUGCACCUUGCUUAUUCGGUAGGAAAUAUUUUAGAAAUAAUGUUGGAAAUAAUUCACGAAAAUUGCAAAUUUUCAAAUUUCUGAGGUGCAGGGACCCUGAUUUUAGAUAGAUAUUCCUGAUGAAAUACGCCUAAGUACACGAUAAAUAAGUAUUUAUCGCGGUUAUAACUUCCUUCUUUCACUGAUUGUAUAUGUUGGGGGAAAAUCCCCUUCGGAUUCACAGUUAGAAUCAAAGGUAUGAGACACAUAUAAAACUAUAAAAAAAAGAAGCAGCAAAAAGACAUGUAUUUAACGCGGUUCGACACUUUUACCUACAUCUCAUCAAAACAUCUCAACAAAUAUCCACACACAAUCAAUUAAUUGAUGCUAAUAGAGAGGAUUUCGAAUGACUCUUUGAAUAAGCAUCGAUGGAUUGUUUCUCACAAUUCCAAGAGCCAGCUCCCUUAGAAAUUGGAAACAAUUACACUUAUACUCUUUGCUUUUUUGAAUUGCACAGAAUAUCGCUCUUUUUUUAUUUUAUUUAUAUACUUUGAAAAAUAUUAUUUUGACACCUCCUUAUAUAUUAUAUUAAUUGCUAAAUUAUUUGAAAAAUACUAUAUCAUAUCCCUAUAAAGAAUGUUGUUGUAAACCUUAAAUAAGGAUGACUAUUGUGUGUGCACUUCAAAAAAACCUCACAGGAUAUUAAUGUAAUUUGUGCUAGAAGUGAUCACAUCUAGAUCUAGAUCAAUAGUAAUAAUUUUCACUUUUUAAAUUUAUUAUAUAUUAAAUCCACUCCAAAUAAUAUUUGAAAAUUUGAAUUGAUUUUCUCAACACUAUGGAUCAGUUUAAUUUGAAAAAAAAAUGUAAUACCUGACAAGAUAACUCUAAUUGUAGCAUGUUUGAUUUGAAAGACAAAAAUACUCCCUUAUCUCUUCUUUCUCUCCCCCACUCUCUUGUUUCAGUUUCUGAUUUUACUCAAAACUGUCGUCUUCUUGCUUAAGCGUAUCAAACGCGAGUGCGGAUCCUCUGUAAAAGAGAGCAGCAUUUGAAGCAGUAGCUUAUUUACUGUUCAAUACAGGACUUAAAUUGUACAACUUACCACAUCAGAUCCAUUCUCUAUAAUGUCCAUAAUUUGCAAAAUUUCAUUUAUUUUAUUAUUCUCUUUUCCCUGUUUACCUUUUGGUAUUCCACAACAGAAAAAAGAGAAGAACAAGAACACGCACAAACUUAGAAGACUAACGGAAAAAAAGAUCACCGAAUAUAACCAAAUACAAAGGUGCACCCACUGUACACGAAAUGCAUUCAUCUUCGUCACUUUUCUUAUUGUAAUUCUCGUAUAAUUUUUUGCAGCAAGUGCAAAGUUUGAUGGAGCAUUUUAAGUAUGGAUUUUUAAGAGAAUGGAACUGAUGUGGUAAGGAAUACAGUUUAAGUCUCUUGUUGAUCAGUAAAUAAGCUACUGCUUCAAAUAUUGUUCUCUUUUACCAUUGCAGAGGAUCUGUACUAAUCAAACGCACCCUAGGUGUGUAUUACAUAUAGAAUAUUAAAUAUAUAAAUUAGAAGUACUAAAGGCAAGAUUGAUUUAUUUAACAAAAGGUUAUUUUAUAAACAUGUGGGUUUCUGAUAGAAGGUUAUUUUAUAAGUAUGUGUUAAGAGGUUUUAGUUUUACCAAUACAGACUAAGAUAUUUCUCAUAUUUGAAGAACACAUAAGAAUUUCUUCGUGACCUUUUAGCAAAUUUGCGGUACAUAUCAGUUUUUCUUUUAUUAAUAGGUUUCUUUAUUAGUAUACGAACUUUUUAAUUUAAUAUAUCUUUCAAAGAUUAGUGUAUCAAUAUCAUUAAAUUUUUUUAAUUAAAUUGUUUUCUAAAAAUUAAAAUAUCAUGCAUUUCUUUUUAUAAAGGACUAAAAUGGUGAUACAGAGUGAUAAAUUUGAUAACCGUUCCUAGUUCAAAAGAAUUAUAUCCUAUUUUAAAAUAACUUUGUUACUAUCAGGCAUUAGCAUAUAGAUGUGCAUGAUUUGUUAAUCUCACGAGUAGUAUACUAUUUUGUUACUGAAGUUAAUUUCGGGCAACACUCGUAACGUUGAGCCUCUACAAUAUCUGCAUCUUCGCUGAAUUAAUAAAUUGGGGUUCAAAAUUUUAGUUUUUAUCAUUUAUUCAGUCAAAAUAUAAUCAAAUGCCAAUAUAAUACACAUACAUAAAAUUAAAACAUUAUCAUUAUUUUUCAUAAAGUAGUUAUUUAUUGAGUUGACUCAACGAGUUAUUAAGCAUGUAAUUCAAAGUUUCAAAUUCACUCCUUUAACAAAUAAGUAAAAAAAAUCAACUUAAUAAAUUAUCACUAAAUUAACUGAAUCCUGAUCUGAUUUACUUACGAGUUUCUACUAAUUUUACUUGUAAUACUCAAUAACAUACUUUUUGGGCUUGGGUAAAAUUAGCUGAAAAAUUAAUUAGAAGUUAAAAAGUUAAUUGAUGAUUGAAAAUUAAAAAAAUAGCUUAUUACAUUUUAAGUGUAUGAUAAAAUUAACUUUUGAAAUAAUUAAAAAGUGUAAAAUGAUAAAAAAAAAUUAUAAUUUAUUUAAAAAGGAUAAAUAAAAAAUUAAAUAAAUAUAUUAAAGAUAAAAAUAAUAUAAAGAAUCGUAUAUAGAAAACUAAUAUACAAUUUUUAAAUCUAAAGAAUAUUGAUGACUAAAUAUGUGAUAUAUCAGUAUAAUAAUUAGGGCAAUAUAUAAACAAAAGUGGUAAACAUAAUUUUUCAGUCGAAUGUAAUAUAUUUGGCAAGUUGGAAAGAGUUGAAUAUUGUUAUAUCUGUGUUUAUCGGUUUCUAUCUAAGAUAAUGCAGUAUAUCACAUUUAUUGGCAUUGUCUAUGUUUAUGAAAACAUUUAUUUCUUAAGUUUUAAGAUGGCAUCAAAACUACAAAUGCAUUAGUAUUAUAACAAUUAUUCUCUAAAAAAAAAAAUAACAAUUAUCCUAAAGAAAGUGUAACAAAAGAAAAUUAUCGUAAAGAAUAAGAGGACGUACCAAUUUGAAGGCUAAAAGCACAUUCUGAACGACGGUUAAUUAAAGAAGAAGAAAGAAAGCCAUCAACCAUGGAAUGGAACCCUCCAUAAACAGUCAGCAGCAAUAAAGAAACAGAUUGACUUCAAAUAGACGUAUGAAGGACAACGUCUGGUUUAUAUAAAAUACAUAGAGGUUCUUUUC
rnacentral:lncRNA from 1 species